GCGAUGAACCAGGCCGCCGCGCCUUUUUGAAUGUUUUUUAAGGAGGUGAGGAAAGUCCGGGCUCCGCAGGGCAUGAUGCCGGGUAAUUCCCGGGCGGGGGAGGUUUUCGGAACUCUUCCGACAGAAAGCGCAACAGAAAACAAACCGCUUGCCGGAGCGGGAAAUUCCCGAUCCGGCAAGUAAGGGUGAAAAGGCGGGGUAAGAGCCCGCCGCGGGGAUGGCAACAUCACCGGAAAAGCCGUUUCCUCCUAUGGGGAACGGCAGAAUGCCUUUUCUUAUUAAAAGAAAAGGUAUAUGGCAAGCCUCAUCAGGAGCAAAGUCAAGCAGCGGCAGGGGUUUUUGACCCGAGAACGGCCCGUUUUUUGCCGCGGGUGGACUGCAUGGACCUUGUUUGUAAAAACAAGGCAAGAUAGAUGGCGGGAUAACCGUGCCGCUUUUGGCUGCACGGUUAUGACAGAACCCGGCUUAUGGUUCAUCGCUUUU
rnacentral:RNase_P_RNA from 1 species